UUUCGAAUUAAAAGAAUUGAAAAAAGGGUCGUGUUAUCUCUUGUAGAAUUGCUCAAUACACACUCUGUGCUGUUUGGCAGAUUUGAGACCAGAGUCAGCCCUCAUAACUAAAAGAUAUGCCAAUUUUGUUUGGGCUGCUAUUGACCUGUCAUCAGCAACAAUCAUCGCUUGGAUAAACAGCAUCCCGUUUCAUUGGAGAUACUGCCGAUGUUGAUCGUGUUAAGGAUCUCUUCUUCCCUUUUCUUCGUGUCCUCGUGUACACCCAUGUGUGUGUGGGUGGCCUAGUGUACAUUUUACUAUUCUUCCGGAUGGAUCACUUGUGGAUGUCUGGCCGUACAUUUCCCGGGCACAAAGGUAGGACCAAUUAAAUCUUUAUUCUUUCUUUUUGACUAUUCGAUGGCAUUGGUUAUAAAUCGUUAGAUAGUAAGGAAUACGAUUAUUUCUGAGCUAUGCGCGGUUGACUGGAACUGUUUUCUCUCUUGUCAUUUUUGUUGACUCAGUCAGGGUUCAUUGAAUACCGGUAACUCAUUUGUAGAACGACUGCAAAUCAGACCCGGUUUUGUACCUCACAACUUUCUCUGUAGGUAAACAAUUAAAUUCAAAAAAUGUUCAACUUCAAUUUAAACACGCCAAGAAAAGUUCAAUUAGAAAAUUGAAUGACCUGCCGCCACACUGGCACGUUCUAUCGUGUCACCGGCAAUUGCGUAUAAAAAAAGAACCCAAUGGCCACACAAAGAAAAGCAAUAUUCAGAUACAGGAAUAGAAAUGUUAUAAUUUACGUCAUUGUUUUUUAUAAAAUUCACGUCGCCAAACGGAAUUUUAUUUUUUUAAAUACGAACGAACGAACGAAAAAUCUAAAGUCCAAAAUCAAAAUCGAUAAACCCGUGCUGUGUGUGUGUGUGGAGUGAGGGUUCAUUGAAUGCGCAACUGAACUUUGGUCCUUGGACGGCGGAGUCCAAAAUACGGAGAUCGACUGUACAUUGUUUAUCUCCGUGUUCCGGACUCUCUCUCGCUCAAAAAUUUGAAAUGGAAAUCGACGGUAACAACAACAAAUUCCAUUGAGGGAAGGAAACAGAAAACAAAAAAAGUUAUUUGUUUGCGCGCGUGUGUGUAUCGAUUCCGGCUAAAAACAACGAAAAAAGAACCCAGCAUAGCAGCAGGGCCGUCUGAUGUUUUUCAUUGAAUGGGGUCCACGGGUCUUUUCUUUUUGUUUUUGUUUUAUAUUUUUUUCCUCGUCCAAUUCUUCCGCCCGCUCCUUUUGGCUCAACCCGCACUUGAUUGCGUACACACAGUACACACACCGCGCCCACUUGGCGGACCGUUGCGCCCGUGUGUCUCCCCUCCCAUCUCCUACUUUACCACCACCUCCUUGGAACUGGACUCUUUCCGUCAUUUUGCCACGGCCACCACCACUACCCCGAGACGCCCCCAAUCAACAGAAACUCUCCUCCUCCUCCUUCUUCUUCUACCCGUGAUUAACCAACAAUUGAACCGAAUAGUAAAAAAACUUUGGAUUAUUAGCUCUCUCUCCUGAACCGAGAUUUUCUAUUAUUAUUAUUAUUGUUAUUGGACUAGUGGCGAGAGAGAGAGAAACGAGCAACGAAUUCUUUCCCCCUCGAAAAAUCCCAGCAUGGCAGCAAAAAAGAUGUCACGGUCACGUGAUCUCUCCCGCGCCGUCCAACUUCUUCUUCUUCUUUUCUGGCCGAUUUGUUCUUCUUUUUGAAAAGAAUGCUGCAGCUCUAUUUUCAGCUGGUUCGUGGAAAUCAAAGGCAGCAGGCUAAAAAGGGUAAGGAAAAAAAAAAACAACAACAACAAAAUACCGACCAACAACCCAAAAGUGUAUUGAGAGCCAAACAAAACGAAGGGAAAAAGAAACACGAAAUGAAAAAGAAAAAGAAAAAAAUAAAGGCGCCGAGAGUUCAGUCAUUUCGUGGAGGUCUGUGUGAUAUGGCCGCCGCCACUGCUCGUGUGUGGGUCUCUCUGCAAGGCCGAAGCGGCAACCUAGCCCCGGGCUAAGUAUGCGCUCUCCCGCAAACGGCUAUCGACAGACGACUGUUGAAACCAUUUGCUUCCAUGUCUUUUUUUUCUUCUUCUUUCCUUCUUUCAUUCUUUCUUUCUUUCUUUCCUUUUUUUUAUUACUUAUAAAUAGUCCCCACCGAAAACGAAAAAAAAAGAAGAUAAACCGGCCAAUGAAUUCCAAGCGACCGCAAACGAGGUCUUAAAUGUCUUUCUUCUAUAAAAGACGAAGGAGAACAGUUUCCAAUUCUCGAAUCGUCUAUUUGAUAUUUUUUUAUUUUUUUUUACAAGUUGUGUCAUUAAGGGAAAGGCGAGUUGAUCGACCAGCGAUAACAACGGGAAAGAAAAGAAAAAAAGAACAAGUCGGAGAUUGCAAUGACAAGGCACUCGGCUGGAAAAUAAACAGAAGAACACACAAAAGAAUUUAUACAAGAGCUAUAGGGAGAGAGAGUUGAUUCUAUUUUACCUUUUUUUUUCAAAAAAUAAAAAUAAAAUACUAUCUCCUCCUCCAUCUAGGAUGGUUUAUAGUCGGUGAUGAUGUCAUCAUUCAUGGAAUCACCGAUGAUUUAUUCGAUGUCACGAGGGGACUAUGCCGGGAAUAGAUGUGAAGAGGCCGCCCAAGGCGGGAGCGAUAUUUCCCCCCACAGUCUGCCACAUCAAACCAACAAAAGAAAAAAUGAUAAUAAUAAUAAU